rnacentral:rRNA from 1 species
ACUCGAGUGGCGAACGGGUGAGUAACACGUGGGUGAUCUGCCCUGCACUUUGGGAUAAGCCUGGGAAACUGGGUCUAAUACCGAAUACACCCUUCUGGCUGCAUGGUCUGGGAGGGGAAAGCUUUUGCGGUGUGGGAUGGGCCCGCGGCCUAUCAGCUUGUUGGUGAGGUUACGGCUCACCAAGGCGACGACGGGUAGCCGGCCUGAGAGGGUGACCGGCCACACUGGGACUGAGAUACGGCCCAGACUCCUACGGGAGGCAGCAGUGGGGAAUAUUGCACAAUGGGCGCAAGCCUGAUGCAGCGACGCCGCGUGAGGGAUGACGGCCUUCGGGUUGUAAACCUCUUUCGCCAGGGACGAAGCGCAAGUGACGGUACCUGGAGAAGAAGGACCGGCCAACUACGUGCCAGCAGCCGCGGUAAUACGUAGGGUCCGAGCGUUGUCCGGAAUUACUG